AAAAUGAAACAACAGGUGAACCAAAAAAACGAGGGAAGACAACAUUUUCGGGCUAAGCAGCAGCCCUCACAAAAGAUCCAUCCCAGGCUUCCUCUUCCUUGCACCAAUGAUGUAUUGACAUAUGCACUGUGUAUAUCACUUUAUUCGAAAAUAUAUGAGCCAAGAAAUCAAGCUAGACUUCCUGCAGGAAAUCCUUUACCAACCAAAAAAUUAUGACGGAUUGCUAUGUUACAAAAUUGAAAGAAUGAAUCUCAUGCCUGUCUUAUGCCUGUGCUAAUGGUGCAGGCCUUUUCAUGCAAUGGUGAAGGAUGACAGUGAAUUCAGAACUGAAACACUGCCCUUGACAAAAUUCUGCUUGCCUUCUCAAAUAGGUCUCAACAAAAUUCCAUGCCAUGAAAUAACUGAUGUGACCAAAAAUCACUUGCGCCAUUUCCUGUUCCACCUCUAGUUUCUAGCAACUAUGGACCUAUGAUUGAUCAACUAUGACUCCAAGAUGUGGCAGUUCCUUAAAAAAUCAUUGGAGUAAUUGACAUACUUGGUCCAAAACGGUCGUAGAUGCUCAAAGCCAAUCUGCAGCCACGGUUUUGACUGGCCAUUAUAGUGAAUGACAGCAGCCCUUUUCACAUUCUCAAUAUCGGUAUUAUUCUGAUAACCCAAGCCAAGCAUAUGCCAAGAUGGGUCAAUUGGGUGGACAUGACCUUUAAAUGCAAUUAAAGCUGGUGGUAGGGUACCAAGUUUCCACAUAGUCAGGUUUGACUUCAAGUUCUGCUUCAGCCAGGAAUGGUAGGGUUCUCUUAUAUUUGUUUU
rnacentral:misc_RNA from 1 species